GUCCAAUUUGGCCGAGCGGUACUAAGGCGCCAGUUUAAAGGCACUGGUCCGAAAGGGCGUGGGUUCGAAUCCCACAAUGGUCC
rnacentral:tRNA from 1 species